AAGAUAGUGUAACAUCUGCGGAAAUCACCAACUAAAAUCACCCAUUAAAAAUCGCUUUCAAAAUCUUUUUACCGUUAAGCUCCCGGAAUUCCAAAAUCUUCCCGGCGAUUUCGCCGUCCCGGCACCCAAGCCGACAGCCAUCAUUUUAUCCGUGCCCGUAAUUUUUGCCGUGUGCCGUCGUCAGACGCCGCGCACGUGCUCCGACCGCGUGCCGCGAACGGUGCCGGUUUCCCCCCUCUUUUUCUUCUCUUCCCCCCUUUUUUUCUUUUUCUUUUUUCCUUCUUCCUUUCUCCUUCUUCUUCUUUCUUCUUCCUCCUUCCUUCU
rnacentral:lncRNA from 1 species